rnacentral:rRNA from 1 species
UACAGAGGGUGCGAGCGUUAAUCGGAAUUACUGGGCGUAAAGCGCACGUAGUCGGCUUUGCAAGCCGGUUGUGAAAUCCCCGGGCUCAACCUGGGAACUGCAUCCGGGACUGCAUUGCUAGAGUAUGGGAGAGGGAAGCGGAAUUUCUGGUGUAGCAGUGAAAUGCGUAGAUAUCAGAAGGAACAUCAGUGGCGAAGGCGGCUUCCUGGACCAAUACUGACGAUCAGGUGCGAAAGCGUGGGAGCAAACAGG